rnacentral:rRNA from 1 species
GCCUAACACAUGCAAGUCGAGCGGAUGAAGGGAGCUUGCUCCUGGAUUCAGCGGCGGACGGGUGAGUAAUGCCUAGGAAUCUGCCUGGUAGUGGGGGAUAACGUUCCGAAAGGAACGCUAAUACCGCGUACGUCCUACGGGAGAAAGCAGGGGACCUUCGGGCCUUGCGCUAUCAGAUGAGCCUAGGUCGGAUUAGCUAGUUGGUGAGGUAAUGGCUCACCAAGGCGACGAUCCGUAACUGGUCUGAGAGGAUGAUCAGUCACACUGGAACUGAGACACGGUCCAGACUCCUACGGGAGGCAGCAGUGGGGAAUAUUGGACAAUGGGCGAAAGCCUGAUCCAGCCAUGCCGCGUGUGUGAAGAAGGUCUUCGGAUUGUAAAGCACUUUAAGUUGGGAGGAAGGGCUGUAGGCUAAUAUCCUGCGGUUUUGACGUUACCAACAGAAUAAGCACCGGCUAACUUCGUGCCAGCAGCCGCGGUAAUACGAAGGGUGCAAGCGUUAAUCGGAAUUACUGGGCGUAAAGCGCGCGUAGGUGGUUCGUUAAGUUGGAUGUGAAAGCCCCGGGCUCAACCUGGGAACUGCAUCCAAAACUGGCGAGCUAGAGUACGGUAGAGGGUAGUGGAAUUUCCUGUGUAGCGGUGAAAUGCGUAGAUAUAGGAAGGAACACCAGUGGCGAAGGCGACUACCUGGACUGAUACUGACACUGAGGUGCGAAAGCGUGGGGAGCAAACAGGAUUAGAUACCCUGGUAGUCCACGCCGUAAACGAUGUCAACUAGCCGUUGGAAUCCUUGAGAUUUUAGUGGCGCAGCUAACGCAUUAAGUUGACCGCCUGGGGAGUACGGCCGCAAGGUUAAAACUCAAAUGAAUUGACGGGGGCCCGCACAAGCGGUGGAGCAUGUGGUUUAAUUCGAAGC